UCAAACUCCAUCUUUGUAAACUUUGAAAACAAACAAAAACUGAGUUUAGAACAAACUAAACUUUUAAUUUGUUCAAUUGUCAGUGAGUUUUCUGCCUGACUACUGAUGUGAUAAAAAUAUAAAGAAAAAAACAUAACGAUCUACUCGGAAGCACCAAACCUCGGGAAAAAAUUGAUUUAGGCGUGAUUGCAGUUUUCCUUCGGAUUUUUCCAAAUUGUAUAAUAAGUAUACAGGUAUAUUGCUUCGGUAAUGGCCGUCACACCUGGUUUGGUUUAUGUACUAGUAAUAUCUCUUCUGAUACUAGUCGCGGAGGGGCAUCGAUAAACAUAGACAUAUUCGACCGGAACUAUAGCAUACUUCCUUAUCAAACCGGAAACAAUAUUUGGGUUCGCUAAAG